AUUGAACGCUGGCGGCAGGCCUAACACAUGCAAGUCGAGCGGAUGAAGGGAGCUUGCUCCUGGAUUCAGCGGCGGACGGGUGAGUAAUGCCUAGGAAUCUGCCUGGUAGUGGGGGAUAACGUCCGGAAACGGGCGCUAAUACCGCAUACGUCCUGAGGGAGAAAGUGGGGGAUCUUCGGACCUCACGCUAUCAGAUGAGCCUAGGUCGGAUUAGCUCGUUGGUGGGGUAAAGGCCUACCAAGGCGACGAUCCGUAACUGGUCUGAGAGGAUGAUCAGUCACACUGGAACUGAGACACGGUCCAGACUCCUACGGGAGGCAGCAGUGGGGAAUAUUGGACAAUGGGCGAAAGCCUGAUCCAGCCAUGCCGCGUGCGUGAAGAAGGUCUUCGGAUUGUAAAGCACUUUAAGUUGGGAGGAAGGGCAGUAAGUUAAUACCUUGCUGUUUUGACGUUACCAACAGAAUAAGCACCGGCUAACUUCGUG
rnacentral:rRNA from 1 species